CCUACGGGAGUCAGCAGUAGGGAAUAUUGCUCAAUGGGGGAAACCCUGAAGCAGCAACGCCGCGUGGAGGAUGAAGGUUUUCGGAUUGUAAACUCCUUUUGUUAGAGAAGAUAAUGACGGUAUCUAACGAAUAAGCACCGGCUAACUCCGUGCCAGCAGCCGCGGUAAUACGGAGGGUGCAAGCGUUACUCGGAAUCACUGGGCGGAAAGAGCGCGUAGGCGGGAUAGCAAGUCAGAUGUGAAAUCCUAUGGCUUAACCAUAGAACUGCAUGUGAAACUGUUAUUCUAGAGUAUGGGAGAGGUAGGUGGAAUUCUUGGUGUAGGGGUAAAAUCCGUAGAGAUCAAGAGGAAUACUCAUUGCGAAGGCGACCUGCUAGAACAUAACUGACGCUGAUGCGCGAAAGCGUGGGGAGCAAACAGGAUGAGAUACCCCUGUAGUC
rnacentral:rRNA from 1 species